rnacentral:rRNA from 1 species
UACGGAGGGUGCAAGCGUUAUCCGGAUUCACUGGGUUUAAAGGGUGCGUAGGCGGGCAGGUAAGUCAGUGGUGAAAUCUCUGGGCUUAACCCAGAAACUGCCGUUGAUACUACUUGUCUUGAAUAUCAUGGAGGUAAGCGGAAUAUGUCAUGUAGCGGUGAAAUGCUUAGAUAUGACAUAGAACACCGAUAGCGAAGGCAGCUUACUACAUGUUAAUUGACGCUCAUGUGCGAAAGCGUGGGGAGCAAACAGG